rnacentral:lncRNA from 1 species
AUUAUGAAUCAAAUAUACUAUAGCUGUCCAACAACAGCAUCAUUAACUCCUUAUAUAUUUAUGGUAACAUUUCCUAUAGAGGCAUUUUGAAACAUUGAAAAUUUGGAAGAGUUUUACGAUCAUUACUACUCCAUGUUUGUUGUACUAUAAAAUGAUUCAUAAUUGUCAAUGGCAUUUGUUAGCAAGUAUUAAACUAUCCCCACAAAAGUUCCCGUAAAUUUUGACGUCGUCAUAAAAAACAUCUGACGUCACAAUGGAAAAGUAAAAAACCGAUACCGGAAACACCGGAAGUAACUUGCACGAGAGGCA